GGCUUUUGUGGAAUGUAAAAAGUUCUACGAAUAAGGACUGGGUAAGACUAGUGCCAGCCGCCGCGGUAAUACUAGCGGUCCAAGUCGCAGCCAUUCUUAUUGGGUCUAAAACAUCCGUAGCUUGCUUGAUAAGUUUUCUGUGAAAUCUCAUAUCUCAAGUAUAAGAAUUGUGGAAAAUACUGUCAAGCUAGAGACCGGGAGACGUAAAGAGUACGUCUAAAGUAGCGGUAAAAUGUGUUGAUCUUAGGCGGACUGACGAUUGCGAAGGCACUUUACGAGAACGGUUCUGACAGUAAGGGAUGAAGGCUAGGGGCGCAAAACGGAUUAGAUACCCGUGUAGUCCUAGCAGUAAACACUGCACACUAAACCUUGUGAUCUCUUCGAGAGAUUGCAGGGCUGCAGGGAAGCCGAAGAGUGUGCUACCUGGGAAGUAUAGUCGCAAGGCUGAAACUUAAAGGAAUUGGCGGGGAGACACUACAACGGGUGACGCGUGCGGUUCAAUUAGAUUAUACACCGUGAACCUCACCAGGAGCGACAGCAGAAUGAAGGUCAGUCUAAAGGGCUUACCUGACACGCUGAGAGGGGUUGCAUGGCCGACGUCAGCCUGUGCUGUGAGGCGAUCUGUUAAAUCAGAUAACAGGCAAGACCCACAUCUUUAUUUAC
rnacentral:rRNA from 1 species